UUCCGGAGGGGGGGCCUGCGGAGGGAUCAUUACCGAGUUUACAACUCCCAAACCCAAUGUGAACGUUACCAAACUGUUGCCUCGGCGGGAUCUCUGCCCCGGGUGCGUCGCAGCCCCGGACCAAGGCGCCCGCCGGAGGACCAACCUAAAACUCUUAUUGUAUACCCCCUCGCGGGUUUUUUUAUAAUCUGAGCCUUCUCGGCGCCUCUCGUAGGCGUUUCGAAAAUGAAUCAAAACUUUCAACAACGGAUCUCUUGGUUCUGGCAUCGAUGAAGAACGCAGCGAAAUGCGAUAAGUAAUGUGAAUUGCAGAAUUCAGUGAAUCAUCGAAUCUUUGAACGCACAUUGCGCCCGCCAGUAUUCUGGCGGGCAUGCCUGUCCGAGCGUCAUUUCAACCCUCGAACCCCUCCGGGGGGUCGGCGUUGGGGAUCGGCCCUCCCUUAGCGGGUGGCCGUCUCCGAAAUACAGUGGCGGUCUCGCCGCAGCCUCUCCUGCGCAGUAGUUUGCACACUCGCAUCGGGAGCGCGGCGCGUCCACAGCCGUUAAACACCCAACUUCUGAAAUGUGACCUCGGAUCAGGUAGGAAGCCGAGUUCU
rnacentral:rRNA from 1 species